AGAGAGAGCUAAUUGCUACUCUUCUCCUUCUCUCUCUAGCAUUGAUCAAAUAGGUGGAGUUCGGUUGGAGCUCGGAUUCGACACCGACGUCGCGCCGCGAAGCCGUUCGGGGAUACGGUUGGGAUCGUAGCGCUGCGAGGAAGCUAGGCGAGGGUGCGUUUUUGUCGUUCUCGACGCCGUGUCGCUGACCGAUUAGCCGUUGAGUUUUUCAGCUCGUUCUCUGCGUAGGAACGUCGGAUCGCGACGAGGCUUGGUUCGUUGGAUUCGGGACUUCGAGAGGAAUCCACGAAGCCCUCAUUUGCCAGAUUUGGUGAAGCUUGGCGUUAGCUCGUCCACCGGACUUGGAGGUCCCUAGUUGAUCCAGCAGAGG